GCGCUCCUCAGUUGAUCAUACAGUGACAGGUCAUGUAAUCUAUAGCAUAACGUAACUUGUGAACUUGCAUAGCUGGUUGCUUUGUAGCUGCAUUGAAAGAAAAAUAAGAACUGGCUAAAUACAGACAUUUGUAAAACACAAUAAUGCUUAAGAAACCUGGGAAAAGAGUAACAGUAAAAUAAUCUGUUUUUCUUUUUUUUCCUUCAACUUUGCUCUGGAAGUAGGGGGUGUCUGGAGCCUGUUCUUUUGGCCUUGGCUCUUCGGACAGUGUUAUCUUAUAACUGUCCUUGUAGUGAGCUUGCUAGGCAGAGGAAAACUUGUUCUUUUCUUUUGCUUUUUAACUUUGGCCUUGCCACAUUCUGGGCCUUAACUUUUACUUUUCUUGGAGUGAAUAAAUGCAGUGCUUAUUAUUAUUAUUUUAAAUUUCUGCCUCAGUUUCUUUUCUUUGAUGCCUCUUAUGAAAGAAGUUUUAGAAUAGAAGGCAUCACUUUUACUGCUUGAAGUAAUAGUGCUCCACAUUGUCUGGGAUGUGAGGAGCACCUCUGCCCGGCCGCCCUGUCUGGGAUAUGAGGAGCACCUUUGCCGGGCCGCCCUGUCUGGGAUGUGAGGAGCACCUCUGCCUGGCCCCUGCCCUGUCUGGGAAGUGAGGAGCGCCUCUGCCCGGCCGCCCUGUCUGGGAUGUGAGGAGCACCUCUGCCCGGCCGCCCUGUCUGGGAUGUGAGGAGCACCUCUGCCCGGCCGCCCUGUCUGGGAUGUGAGCAGCACCUCUGCCUGGCCCCCGCCCUGUCUGGGAUGUGAGGAGCACCUCUGCCUGGCCCCCACCCUGUCUGGGAAGUGAGGAGCGCCUCUGCCCGGUGGCUGUGCAGGCUUCCAAGUGUGGGCAUACUUCCCAGCUGCCCACCAUCUGUAAAGUGAGGAGCGCCUCUGCCCAGCCGCUGCCUUGUCUGGGAAGUGAGAAGCGCCUCUGCCCAGCCACCACACCAUCUGAGAUGUGAGGAGCACCUCUGCCCGGCCACUGCCCUGUCUGGCAAGUUCUGCUUGAAGAGACAAGUUUUCUUCUUUAGACAAAGGUUGAUAUUUACGCAGAGCCACUAGCUGAGUGGUAGUUUGCCUGGCUACUGUUGCUUCUACAGUUGAUUGAAUGCUUCUAACAAGGAGAGGACAGCCUCAGGAUCCUGGACAGAAUCCUCUACCACAAGAAGAAGAAAGAAGAUAGAAAAAAGAAGAAAUAAAAGAAGGAAGAAGGAAGAAGAAGAAGAAAGAACAAGGAGGAGGAGGAGCAUGGUGCUGGGUUUGGCCCCCUUCCCUCCCACAGGUAUGCCUCCAGGGAACAUAAUUCCAACUCCAGGAGGUCCUGACGUGCGUGUGGCCCUGAGGACCCCAAUACCUGCCUGCAGCAGCGUCUCCUUGCCAAGCUCUAGGCUUCUGAGCAGCCACCUAGUGCAGUGACCCAUCAGGGGUUCCCUUGUGGCUUCCGCAAUCCAGAACCUCUUCCAGGUACGAUUCAUCCUCUGAGCUGCAGUUUGUGCCGCUGUCCAGGUCUGUAGGUCCUGAAUCGGGGACGUGAAAUCUCCCCUGUAGUAGGCAGACUGAAAGUGUCCCGGGAGGAAGCUCUCGUCCAGAGCCACGUGCAGCCACGCAGUAUCCGCAGGUGCGGGCCCUGGACCUGUCCUGGUGUCAACUCAAGGCAGGGCUGGGGAGGGGAGGGAAGUCGUCCAGCCCCUCCUGCCUCAGCCUGCACACCCCCAGUUCCUCCCUCUCUCUGUGAUUGGUCACAGCAGAAGUCAGUCAUGAUCUAGAUUGAAGGAGAAACCUGGAGCAAAAUGUUGCUUGCACUUCCCCAUCCAUGAGGGGUCAGCUGAGGCCCUGCCCCCCAUGCCUGGGAGACCCUGGCCCAGCAGGUCAGUGUGGGGUUUGGAGGACACCUGUGCCUAAAGCUUGACGUCACUCACCAGCUGGCCUGGGUGGUGGUGCCUGUAGCAGCAAACUUUGGACAAAGGGAGCUGCAAGACUCAUGUCCUGCCAGCUGCCUGGCUGGCUCAUAGUGUUUGUGAUAGAUGGGGCUGGCUAGUGGGGGAAUGUAGGAGUCAGAGUGGUGGGAAAAAUGAUAGGGAAAGGAACAGACCUUCUGAAAAGUCAUAAGGCUCUGCAAAGCUCCAGGGGAGAAUAGCUGAAGGCAGCUGUUCUAUAACCCUAAGGCAGAGGGCAAGGAGUAGGUACAAGGGAGUGUAGGGGAAUUUAUCUUAAACAGACUUGUUUACUUAUGUUGACUGAGAACUGACCUUUGAUCAUCCACACACCUGAGGUUCCUUGAAAGGGGAACAAUAAAUGUUAAUUACCCACAGAUUGUGUUUGCUCCAGGUUUUUGGCAUUGUGCCUGCACUGAACAAAAACAAGCAGCUCCAGCUUCUCGGUACUGCUACACUUUGGCCACUUGAUCUGGGCAGUCCCCUAGCUGCUCUUACACUGCGUACCUGUGUCUGAGUACUCCUUUCAUCCAUCGGUUGGCCAGGGUUUGCAGGACAGACCUGGCAGGGGAACAUGUAGUGCCCUUAGCCUGGGUGCUGCACUGCAUAGAACAACAUUAGGGUAACACCAUGUAAGAUAGGUACCCGCCAUGACCUGUGCAAACAUAACACGUGUCACCACACCAAAGAUGUGGUGGAACACAUGGUCCCACCAAGGUUGAGCCCUGAUGGACUUUGUGCCCUCUGGGAGUUUAUGGGUCUGUGGGUACACAGGGUGGCCUCACCUGUCAGUGAACUGGACUGGACGUUGUUCCUGGGGGAGGCCUUAUGUAUCUGCCACUGUCCUCCCCACGUUAUCCAGAUGCCUGCAUAACUGAGAGGCAUUACCCUCCCAGUUUUCACAGGUGCGACGAACUGCCUGGCAGUUCUAUCCCUUGUCAUUAACUGUCUCUGCAGCACGUGUUAUGACUAUAGAGGCACAAGUGACGGCUCUUGCAGAGCAUACCACUCAGGUUCUGAAUUACAGCCGAAUAGCCCUCCUCCUGUUAACGGAUGAGGUUAAUUAGAUUAGAAAAGUAGUGUUGCAAGACUGGAUGGCCUUAGACAUAGUACCUGCUGCCUAAGGAGGCACCUGUGUCCUUGUAGGAACACAGUGCUGUACAUUUAUCCCUGACAAUUGAAAAAACAUAACAACAUACCUGCAAGGGAUCACAUGGAGAAUAAAGGUGGUCAAGAGCCUUACUGAUGACCCCUGCAGAGGUGGUGGGCAUCCCUAGGUUCUGGCCUAUUCUGGACCCUGAUAGUCAUAAGUAGCAUAGCUGGAAUCUUAGUAGUGAGCUGUUGCUCUCUGUAUUGCUGUUGUGGGUUAUAGGUUCAAGGCUCCACCCUAGGGGCACACGUCCCUACUCAGAAGACACCCUCGGCCUAGGGAGUGGAAUGUAAGAAAGAUGACUGCACUUCAGUUAGGAGUAAGCUGAGGCAGCCUUCCAAUGCAGUAUGACACAGUGGAUUUGGAGCACAGGCAUACAAACCCAUGCAUUAUGUAACCACACCAUGUAAGGCACAUAAUGUAACUACUCACGUGAGCUUGUGCUUGGCUCAGAAGCAUUAUUGUCUGUAAAAAGUGUAACUGCUCUGCUAAUGCUAUGCAUAGUGCUUGCUCGCUCGCACACCCAGAGAGAAAUAAAGCUAUGUCCCACCUGCCUACAA